AAUGAACGUUGGCGGCGUGGAUUAGGCAUGCAAGUCGAGCGAGAAACUUCCUUCGGGAAGUGGACAGCGGCAAACGGGGUAGUAAUACAAAGGUACGUACCCCAAGGACCAGGAUAGCCACGGGAAACUGUGAGUAAUACUGGAUAAUCUCUCCGGAGCAAAUGGUGUGAUUCCGCCUUGGGAGCGGCUUUUCCGAUACUAGGUAGUUGGUUGGGUAAUGGCUGACCAAGCCUGAGAUGUCUAGGGGGUGUGAGAGCAUGGCCCCCACCACUGGGACUGAGAUACUGCCCAGACACCUACGGGUGGCUGCAGUCGAGAAUCUUCGGCAAUGGGCGAAAGCCUGACCGAGCGACGCCGCGUGCGGGAUGAAGGCCCUCGGGUUGUAAACCGCUGUCAGAGGGGAUGAAUGUUUGAGGACCCUUUUACUUGACAAGCCUCAGAGGAAGCACGGGCUAAGUACGUG
rnacentral:rRNA from 1 species